GAUCCUGGCUCGGGAUGAACGCUAGCUACAGGCUUAACACAUGCAAGUCGAGGGGCAGCGGGAUUGAAGCUUGCUUCAAUUGCCGGCGACCGGCGCACGGGUGAGUAACGCGUAUCCAACCUUCCGUACACUCAGGGAUAGCCUUUCGAAGGAAAGAUUAAUACCUGAUGGUAUCUUAAGCACACAUGUAAUUAAGAUUAAAGAUUUAUCGGUGUACGAUGGGGAUGCGUUCCAUUAGGUAGUAGGG
rnacentral:rRNA from 1 species